CCUUCAUCUCUCCAUCUUCUCGUCCCACCAUUCUUCUUCUUGAUCGUGGAGAUUGUUACUUUACUUUGAAGGUAUGGCAUGGACAAAAGGCAGGAGCUUCAGCAGUUUUAGUGGCUGAUGAAGUAUAUGAGCCUUUAACAAGUGUGAAGAGCAGCAGCAAUGGAGGUGGAACAACA